AUAUUGCGCAAUGGGGGAAACCCUGACGCAGCGACGCCGCGUGGGCGAAGACGGUCUUCGGAUUGUAAAGCCCUUUUCUGCGUGACGAGGAAGGACGGCAGCGCAGGAAUAAGUCUCGGCUAACUACGUGCCAGCAGCCGCGGUAAAACGUAGGAGGCAAGCGUUAUCCGGAGUUACUGGGCGUAAAGCGCGCGCAGGCGGCGCGUUAAGUGUGGGGUCAAAGGUCCAGGCUCAACCUGGGAACGGCAACACAGACUGACGUGCUGGAGGCAGCUAGAGGGACGCGGAAUUCGGGGUGUAGCGGUGAAAUGUGUAGAGAUCCCGAGGAACACCAGCGGUGAAGACGGCGUCCUGGGGCUGACCUGACGCUGAGGCGCGAAGGCGUGGGGAGCGAAUGGGAUUAGAGACCCCGGUAGUCCACGCGGUAAACGAUGCCGACUGGACGUGCACCACUACGGUGGGGCGUGUCGAAGCUAACGCGGGAAGUCGGCCGCCUGGGAAGUACGGUCGCAAGGCUA
rnacentral:rRNA from 1 species